UACGUAGGGUGCAAGCGUUGUCCGGAAUUAUUGGGCGUAAAGAGCUCGUAGGCGGCUUGUCACGUCGGGUGUGAAAGACCGGGGCUUAACCCCGGUUCUGCAUUCGAUACGGGCUGGCUAGAGUGUGGUAGGGGAGAUCGGAAUUCCUGGUGUAGCGGUGAAAUGCGCAGAUAUCAGGAGGAACACCGGUGGCGAAGGCGGAUCUCUGGGCCAUUACUGACGCUGAGGAGCGAAAGCGUGGGGAGCGAACAGG
rnacentral:rRNA from 1 species